UACGCAGGCGGCUUGGUAAGACAGAUGUGAAAUCCCCGGGCUCAACCUGGGAACUGCAUUUGUGACUGCCUGGCUAGAGUCUGUCAGAGGGGGGUGGAAUUCCACGUGUAGCAGUGAAAUGCGUAGAGAUGUGGAGGAACACCGAUGGCGAAGGCAGCCCCCUGGGAUAAGACUGACGCUCAUGUACGAAAGCGUGGGGAGCAAACAGGAUUAGAUACCCUGGUAGUCCACGCCCUAAACGAUGUCGACUAGUUGUCGGGGAUUAACUUCCUCGGUAACGCAGCUAACGCGUGAAGUCGACCGCCUGGGGAGUACGGUCGCAAGAUUAAA
rnacentral:rRNA from 1 species